AUAUAUUUGUCACUUUUCCCUAAAAUCUUAUCGAAUUGAUUAUUAAUUUCUUCUUGUGACAUAGCUUCGAAUAUCGGGAAUUAUGACAAAUGCACCAAUAAUAUUGACACUUGACUGUGAUAUGUACUCUAAUGAUCCAUCAACACCUCAACGGGCUUUAUGUUACUUCUUGGACCCAACAUUACGGCCCGAUUUAGCCUACGUUCAGUUUCCUCAAACUUUUCAUGGGCUUAAUGCAGCAGAUAUUUAUGCAAAUGAGAUAAAACCCCUAUUUAUUACUAAUCCAAUGGGCAUGGAUGGGCUUAAUGGGCCUAAUUAUGUUGGAACUGGAUGUUUUUUUCGUCGUCGGGCUUUUUUCGGGCCUCCGUCUUCGUUUGAGCAGCCCGAAAUUCCAGAACUGUUUCCGGAUCAUGUUGUGAAUAAGCCCAUUAAGGCCCAUGAAAUCUUGCGGCGAGCCCAUUAUGUAGCAAGUAGCAACUAUGAGAGUGGAAGUAAUUGGGGUUCCAAGGUGAGCUUUAGUUUACAUUUUAAGUUGGUAAAUGUAGAGUAUAAUUGCACUAGCAACUUCUUUUUGGUGGCAAUUGGUUCGAAUUUGCCACGCGAUAUAUCUAGUAUACAUGGUAUAUUCGAACUAAUUCCCAUGAAAAAAUCGUUUGCACUUAAGGCAAUAUGAGUAUAAUUCCACUAGCAACUUUUUCGUGGCAAUGAGAUCGCACUUGUCACAUAUUUUAGAUCUUGUUGCCACAAAAAAAGUUGGUAGAACUGAAGACAACAUAGUAAAUGUGGUGUAAAAUUGAACCAACGAGACAAUCAUUUCAGACUUUCUGAUUAUCGUUGCCAAUAAAAAUAGCAAUAAUAUAUCAAUCAGAUGUAUAAUACAUGUAUUUUUAAUGUAUAAUCUGUAUAUCAUCAUGUAUGUUAUAUACAAACUAACAAUUUCAAAAUUAUGCAGAUGGGGUUUAGGUAUGGAUCACUUGUUGAGGAUUACUACACAGGUUAUAGACUUCAAUGUGAAGGAUGGAAAUCAGUAUUUUGCAAUCCUAAAAGGCCUGCAUUUUUAGGAGAUAAACCAAUUUCUCUGUAUGAUGUGGUCAGCCAAAUGAAGAGAUGGGAUGUGGGCCUUCUUGAAGUUGCUCUCUCAAAAUAUAGCCCAUUAACUUUUGGGGUUCAGUCCAUGGGCCUUGUUAUGGCCCAUUGUUAUUCUCACUAUGCAUUCUCCCCCAUUUGGUCAAUACCACUUACUCUAUAUGCCUUCAUACCUCAACUUACUCUUCUCAAUGGGGUUACCAUCUUUCUAAAGGUAUGUCCUUUUGAUAUAUGACUCAGCAUAUUUAACGUUCAAUUAAUUGAGUUACGCAUUUUGGUUCCCUUUCAUGUAGAAAAUAUAUUAUAAUAUCGUCAUAUACAAGGCAACACUACAUAUAUAGAGCGUAGCACAUGACUAAUAAAUUGGUAGAACAACUAGUCUUAAGGUAAAUUUGUGGAUAUUGACAUGCAAAUGAAUAAAAAUUGUAAUUUUUUUUUUGAAUGUUUAAUGUUCUUUUUAUAUCGAUUUCAGGUUUCAGACCCUUGGUUUUUCUUGUAUGUUUUUAUGUUCCUUGGAUCGUAUGGACAAGAUUGCUUGAUUUUUAUGUCUAAUGAAGGGACAUUUAAAAGGUGGUGGAGUGACCAAAGAAUGUGGAUGAUAAGGGGUUAACAUCUCACUUAUUUGGAACAAUUGAGUAUUUAACUAAAUACUUAGGCAUAUCGAUACAAGGUUUCAAUGUAACAAAUAAAAUAGUCGAUAAUGACCAAGGUAAAAGGUAUCAUCAAGGAAUUUUCGAGUUUGGGGUUGUUUCGCCUAUGUUUGUGAUACUAGCAACAACAUCAAUUAUCAAUUUAGUAGCAUUCCUCAAAUCAUUAGCACAAAUUUUCAAGAGUGAUCAAAAUUUGGAUGGUAUGUUCAUCCAAAUGUUUAUUGCUGGUUUUGUUGUUAUAAAUUGUUUGCCAAUUUAUGAAGCUAUGGUUUUGAGAAGUGAUAAAGGAAGAAUGCCAACAAGGGUCACUAUUUUCUCAACAUGUCUUGCUUGUACCCUCUAUAUAGCAUUUGCUUUUCUUUUAGGAAACAUGUAAUAGCAAAGUUUUAUUUUUGUACUUUUGGGACCUUUUGUUAUUGUUCUUGUAAUCUUAUUACUUAGUUUAGUUAAGAAGCAAUAUUAGAUUUAUUUGAAAUAUUCAAGAAUAAAAGGAGUACUGAGAUUUUAUAUAUGGAAUGAACAUAUAUUUUUCUCAAUCUUCAUACGAUGAAAAUAAUAAAUAAAAAUAAUUUUUUUUUAAUAUAAUAAACACGUAAAAAUAACAGAGAGAAGUUUUUGAAAUCCCUCCCAUAAAUAGACUCCUCUCACCACAAUAAUCUAUCACUCUAUCAUCUACUCUAAUAAAACACUUCAAGCAAAAAUGGAAACCACCACCUCCUCCUCCGCCGACACCACCACCACCACCAAUAACACCGGGGGUCUUCACUCCGUCGUGAUGAAUCCACGACACCACAUCCUCAACCGUGCAUUUGCACUUAUUUACCUUUUUGCCAUCCUAGUUCUUUUCUAUAACCAUAUAAUAAAACUCCUAAAUUCCACAAAUUCCUUUAUAACUUUCUCCAUAUCAUUUUCAAUUUUAAUUUCAGAUUUAAUCUUAGCCUUCAUGUGGACAACCAGUCAACCUUUUCGUAUGCGUCCACUAACACGUCAACAAUAUCCCGAAAAAAUAACCAAAAACUUUAGUAACGAAAUUAAUAAUUUUCCAGCACUUGAUAUAUUUAUUUGUACUGCAGAUCCUUAUAAGGAGCCACCGUUAAACGUCGUUAACACGGUAUUAUCAGUUAUGGCCUACGAUUAUAAUCCAAUCGAAAAAAUAUCGAUUUAUGUAUCGGACGAUGGAGGAUCGGAGCUUACGUUAUUUGCUUUUAUGGAAGCUGCAAAAUUUGCUGUAUAUUGGCUGCCUUUUUGUAGGGAAAAUAAAAUAAUUCAAAGGUCUCCAGAUGCAUAUUUCAAUUCUAAUUACUUACAAAAUUUUGAGACAAAGAAAAUCAAGGUAUGUUUUUUUUCCCUCUAGAAUUUAUAUUACUAAAUAGAACGUCUAACGUCUAGUGAUUUUCUUAAUCAAUAAUAAAAAAUUUGAUUAAUUUUUAAUAUUACUAAAUCAUAAUUAUAAUGUUCGAAUUUUUAAAAAGUAUCUUAACGUAUAUGGUGGAUAUUCCUUUAAAAAUAUAUUAUUUUUAUUUGAAUAUGAUAAUACUUUUAAAAAUUCGAGCAAUAUAGAAAAUUGAAAAUUUUUAAUGCUGUUAUUUCUGCAAGCAUGCAUGUGCGAUGUACAUUUAAUUUAUAUUAUAGCUUGCGUUUGAGAUCUGGCUGAGUUUAUUUAUGAGAUAUUUUGGUAAAUUUGUCGUAUAUUACAAUUAUUGAUAAAGGGGCAUAUAGGUUUGGUACGAUCUAUUUUAUGGUCUAUUAUAAAUAUUAUUUUUAGUUAUAUUAUAUGGUCUUCUCUAUAGGAUGUCAGGUCCCAAUUUAUUAAUAUAGUAUGUGGUAACUUUUGCUUUUCGAAAGUUGAUUAUCUAUGGUUUAAAGUUGAAUAGGAUUUGAUUAAACUAAAUAUUAGUUAAAAUGUUUAUCAAAGUUUAGAUUAUAUAUAUAUAUAUAUAUAUAUAUAUAUAUAUAUAUGAGAUCGUAAAGUAUAUGAAAUUUUUAUAGAGAUAUUUUUUUUUAUUUAAUUAAAUAUUAUUUGUGAUGGAAAAUCAUGAUUCUCGCUAAGGAAAAUAACAAAUAGAAUAUUUGUCCUUUAUCUUACACCAUAUCUCAUAUUUUUAUGUAUUUUCAUUCUUUAAAAUUCAAAUUAUGUUAUAUUUUAAUUAAUAUUUUAAAAUAUAUUUAUACAAGAAGAUAAGCAACUUGCAAUUUGAUUGACUAGUAUCUGGCCUGAGUUGAUUUUAUCAAUUAUUUGAACAUAUUUAAUAUAUUUAUUGAUUUGGCAUUUUGUUUUUGAAUUCAAUCUUUGUGACGCUGUAGCUGAAGGAAAAAAAAACAGAUAUUUUCUUUAGCCAAUAAUAGUAGUAUAUAGUAUAUGCUCAUAUAUCAAUAUGUAUUUGUUAUAUAUUGUAUUUGACUAAUAAAUUUAACCAAUAAUGUUGUAACAACUCUUACAAGGACAUCUUAUAUUAUUUUAAAAUAUCAUAAAACUUUUUUAUUAUUAUACUAGAAUCUUUAUCUUAUGUUAUUAGAUAAGAAAAACAAUUUAUUUUUUAUGCAAAUCACGUCAUAGUAUUUUAACAGUAGAAAAUAAUAUUUUUAUCUGUCUUUCAGCGUUAAAUUAUUUAUCUUAUUUUCAAUCUAUCAACGCGACUCAAACUAUUAUCAAAAAAAAACUUUUUCGACUAUUUAUCUUAUUUUCAAUCGAGAAUUUUAUGUGAUGUAUAUUGUAUUUGUAGUUGAUGUAUGAAAACAUGAAAACAAGGAUAGAAGAAGUGAUUGAGAGGGGAAAAGUGGAUGAAGAUUGUAUUAACACUGAGGAAGAGCUUCAAGCUUUUACCAAAUAUUGGACUACUGGAUUUUCUCGACAUAAUCAUGCUUCUAUUAUUCAGGUAAAUAUAUAUUGUACUGUAGUAAUUCAAUUUAUUAAUGAUAUUAUUAUUUUGAAACUUAAUUCUAUAUAACUUGUCACUAUAAUUUUACGCUCGUUUCCUUAUAUAUAAUAUUCUUUUAAUAUUUUAUCGAUGUGAGACUUAAUAUAGGAUAUCAUAUAUAUUGAGAUUUGCCCAUGCGGAUGUUUGGUGAUUAAUUUGGUAAUAUCGUCCACUUGACUUUAUCCUUUUAUCAAAUUGGUUGGUGUAGGUUUUGUUAGAAAGUGGCAAAGACAAAGACAUAACAAGUCAUGGGAUGCCAAAUCUUAUUUAUUUUUCAAGAGAAAAAAACAAAAGUUCCCCUCAUCAUUUUAAAGCAGGUGCCCUCAAUGCAUUGGUAAGUAAAAAAUCUAAUCAAUUUUACUUAUACACACGUUCUAAAUAGCAAAGUCGAGGAAUAUAUUUGUCUCUUUUCUCUAAAAUCUUAUCGAAUUGAUUAUUAAUUUCUUCUUGUGAUAUAGCUUCGAGUAUCGGGAAUUAUGACAAAUGCACCAAUAAUAUUGACACUUGACUGUGAUAUGUACUCUAAUGAUCCAUCAACACCUCAACGGGCUUUAUGUUACUUCUUGGACCCAACAUUACGGCCCGAUUUAGCCUACGUUCAGUUUCCUCAAACUUUUCAUGGGCUUAAUGAAGCAGAUAUUUAUGCAAAUGAGAUAAAACCCCUAUCUAUAACUAAUCCAAUGGGCAU
rnacentral:lncRNA from 1 species